rnacentral:lncRNA from 1 species
UUUCUUAAUUAAUAACAUAUAAAUUACACACAACUGUCAAUUUCACAAACUCAAAAUUAGAUCUAUACACAUAAAAAGAUGAAAAAAUCACAGCUAGAUGAAAAACCCGUUGGGAAUCGAACAAGAUGACUUGAAGAAAGUUAGAACACAACCCACUAUAUCUUUUGAUUAGAAAUCACAACAAGAUGAAGGAAGCCAAUGCACAUCGCAGCACGAUGAAGAAAUUGUAGUGUAGUCGUCUCUUUUGCCUCUUUUUUACUAUCUCAAGAAAUAAAAUGGAAAGCAAAGAAAUUGAAGUAAAGAAUGUAGAAGAAAAUGG